rnacentral:piRNA from 1 species
UAUGCUGUCUGUCCUUAUUCCUAAGGCUGG